GAGUUGAUGUAAUCUAAAUAAUUUUCUUUCCGUUUUUAGGUAUCGAGUUUAAUGUUAAUGAAGAAGAGUAUUCAUUCUUCAAUGGAGAGGUGCAAAGUCAACGUGCCUCAUGUUCGAAUGCCACAGAAGAACAGAACAACCCUGACGUCCUAAAUCAAUACGAGAAAAUCGGUGUUCUAGGUAAAGGUGGAUAUGGGAAAGUGUAUCUUGUCCGUAAGAGGGGUGGCGCGAAUGAAGUCCAGGUUUUCGCAAUGAAGAAAUUGAGGAAGGGAUGUGAUACGUUUGAUAUAGAGCGUAUGGUGUCUGAGAAAGUAUCAGGAUAUCCAUUUUUGGUCAGCCUUUGUCGCUCUUUCAAGACGAACUCUCAUGGGUACCUGGUGAUGGAUUACAUGGAAGGUGGAGACCUGUCAAAACUCAUAAAAAAGAAACAUACCCUUACAGAGGAUGAAGCUCGAUUUUACCUUGCGGAAGUUCUU